rnacentral:lncRNA from 1 species
AUGUGCCUACAUUCAGGGUGKUUGGAGCUGAAUCUUAAGCUGAAUGCUCCCUUCCAGGAGGGGCCACUUGCACCUGGUGGUUGGCUUGCAGCGAUGAGGAACCUCAGYUACCCUGUCAUAUAUCGGAGGUGAGCGCUAGCUACUCUGCAUCUCCCCUCCCUUUGAGUCACUGAAGAACGAAGAACGUCAGAGGACUGCUGUGACCACGGGGCCUCUUGGGCAGUGGCAUCUUGGCUGAGGAACCAGACUCUCAYGGGGGGACUACAGCUCCCAUAGGGCACUGCAGCUGCCUGUCUGAACCAAAACGCACAGGUUUGAGCUGAGAAUGGUUUUCGGCUUCUGAUGGCAAACCAGAAUCGUUUAUGCAUCCGUCAACUAGUAAGUCCCUCUGUAUGUGGGAUGUUCACCGUGGGACCUGGGGUGUUUGCGCUGGGGAAGAGAGACCCGAGUUCUCAAGCGGCAGCUACGCAACCAGGAUACUCGCGGAGGAGGGAAUUCUUCUCCCCACUGCUAUGCAAGCACUCUCCAACGUCAGCAUUUCGGCUGGGAGAGGGAACUUCAGGCAAAUUCUCACACACAAACACGCACCCUCAAAGCAAAACACACAAAUUGCC